CACGUGAAACUCAUGACCGGCACAAGCACAAAACUGACACAACACUUAGCACAUGACAAGUUCUUGAAUAAAGAUAGAAUUUUCGUGUUGAAAAUACAAAGGCAGAUCGCUUAAAAAACACAGCAAACACGUAAAGCUAUCAUAACUAAAAGGAAUUCUGCUGAUUCAAGAUGUCAGUGAACGAGGAAAAGAAGAAGUUGAGUUUUGGUUGCUUCAAAGUAAAUCUAACAAUAGCUAAUCUAUUUUUCGCGUUAUUGGGAAUCAUAAGUCGCGUUGGAAUAAAUGUUGCUCUUCCAUUAUGGAUUGAUUCGCAAAAAUCUGAAGAGAAAACAACACAAUCAAACAGCACUUGUUCAAACAGCACUGGCUCAAACCAUACGAACACAUAUACACCGAAAAUUGGUCCCUAUUUUAUUAUAUCGUUCCUUGGAAUAAUGCUUACUCUACUAAACGGCAUAGCUCUUGCUGUUUACCGCUUAUUUCACGCAAAUGCAUUCGGAGAAACUGAAAAAAGUUUCCCAAAAUCCCAAUUGUUUUUUGUUGCUUUGCUACUUUCGAUGAACGAAAUAUUUAUAGGAUUUUCGUCGAGUCACGAAAGAACCCCAUUAUCUUUGCAAUCAAUUCUCGCAAAUACGACAAUUCCAAUGGUUAUAAUAAUGCGAUACUUUAUUUUACGCAAACAGCCAACACGUCGAAAGCUUGUGUGUGCAACAGUGAUAUCAAUUUGCUUGUUUUUCUGUUUCAUUCCCUCGAUUUUUCCAUCAAUUGGCGACAAGAGAGAUAAUAAUGUCACUAACGGGACGGAGAGUAUCAAAUGGUCUCUGGUUUUCAUGGCUGGCAGUGUUCCAGCAGCAGCAAGUAUGGUAUACGGAGAGAAGAUUUUGAAGACGGAAACGAGUUCAGAAAAACGUGAACUGAAUGUUAUGUAUUUUGUUUUCAUGGUGAGAGUUUACGUGUUCGUAAUCGUGACAUGCCUCUUCUUCGUCGAUAUCAUACCAGGUUUUGGUUAUGCACAAAGCAUAAGUCAACUUUUUGAAAAUUGGUUUUAUGGUUUUCAAUGUUUCUUCGGUGGAGCUGGUUGUGAUCGAAUCUUCGGUUUUUACGGCACAUUAUGCCUUUGCAUGAUGAUCACAAAUUAUAUAGCUAUGUCAAACUUAACACGAUAUUCUGAAGGUGCAACACUAGUUGCUCUUGUUUCGACUGUCAGUACUCCAUUGGGUGUUUUUGACAGAUUUCUGUCUAUCAAAAACCACAAACGAAAUGAAAACUUCCAUUAUUGUUCUACAAAUCUAGACUGUCAGUACUCCAUUGGGUUUUCUCUUCUGGACAAUUUUCAGUGAACCCCCGUUUAAAUUCAAUCCGGUUUGGCAUAACGCAGUACUGUUCCCACUUUUCGGAGUUUUACCCAUGAUUCCAGCAAUCUACUUCUACAAGACAGGAAACCAAGAAAAAGUCGUGGAAAAAAAACGUGAAAAAGAGGAAAGUCAAGCUCUAAUGGAAGGAAAUCAUCAUUCCAUAAACAAAUACGUGUAAAAUGUGUUUGUUAUUAUCAAUAAUUCGAGGGGGGAAACGCAAUACACGAGAAACAUAUAACUUAGAAUAAAUCGAUUGGAAUUGGGACGUGCUGCAGCUACAAUAUAACAUGAUUUUAAUUAAUCAGAGAAAGAGAAAGACAAAUGCCUUACUUUUGGCAAUCAAGUGCAAACUUUUAAAAUAGUAUGUUCGUUAUGUUACAGACUAUUAUUUUAUUUAAAUAUAUGGAAAAACAUGUCCAUAAAUUGCAUAGAAAAUAUAUAAAUUCAUGAAAUACAGAUGUAUAAUCUGGUUCAGUAUUUCGAGUUGCCGUAUUUGUUUUGAUAUUUCGAUUAAUCUAAAUAUCCAGUAGACAUAGCAAUCAAUAAAUCUGUUCAGAUGUAUUUAUCCGCA